rnacentral:lncRNA from 1 species
UCAAUCAAUCAGAUUAUUUUUUAAAUUUAUUCAUCCUAUUAUAGUUAUUAAGAUAUAAUUUUAUUAUAUUUUUUUUAAAAAAUAUAAUUAACUAGUUACUGAUGAUGUGAUGUAAAUGUUACAAAAUAAAUUUUCUCGUGUUCGUGCCCGAGCCAUGAGUCAUCAAGGCAUUCCAAAACUUAUCUGGCAACUAUCCAAUGCUUGUCUAAAUUAUGGAAACUAAAAAAUGAUAUUUAAAGCGUUACGUUGAAAAUUACUUCUAUUUUGAAAAAAUAAUUUUUUAACAGAAUAUGAUAAAUUUAAUUUGGACUUAUUUUUUAUUU